rnacentral:rRNA from 1 species
AUUGAACGCUGGCGGCAGGCUUAAUACACGCACGUCGAGCGAGCGGCGGACGGGUGAGUACUUUCUGCGAAACUGCCUGAUGGACGGGGAUCAUUCCUGGAAACGGUCGCUCAUCCCGCAUACCAUCAGCUGUGCCCAGAUGGGAUUAGCUAGUCGCGGGGGUACUGGCUCACCUAGGCGACGAUCCCUAGCUGGUUUGAGAGGAUGACCAGCCACACUGGAACGGAGACACGGUCCAGAAUGCGACGGGAGUCAGCAGGGGGGAAGAUUGCACAAUGGGCGCAAGCCUGAUGCAGCCAUGCCGCGUGUGUGAGGAAGGCCUUCGGGUUGUAAGGCACUUUCAGCGAGGAGGCGUUACCCGCAGAAGAAUCCACGGCUAACUCCGUGCCAUCAGCCGCGGUAAUUC